GGGUCAGUAGGUUGGUCGUGCCACCGGUACGUACUGGUCUCACUGAUUCCUCCUUCCUGAAGAACCGUAAUGCCGUUAAUUUGGUGUUGCGGGGAAACAGGUCUGUUACUUUGAAAAAAUUAGAGUGUUUAAAGCAAGCUAACGCUUGAAUACAUUAGCAUGGAAUAAUGAAAUAGGACGAUCGAUCCUAUUUUGUUGGUUUCUAGGAUUGACGUA
rnacentral:rRNA from 1 species